GGCAGCAUAAGAGUGGGCGUGGUCUUUAGCCAAAACGUAGAGCCUGGACACUCCUUGACGUUGACUGGACCAAACACGCUUGACGGCCUUUCGAAGGAGACCAGUUCUCCGUUGAUCCCCAUGUCCUGGAUGCAUCCAACAAAGGAGGAUGUGACAGGAAGCCUCUGCUGCAUUAAGAUCGCUGCAGCAGAAACGGACAGAAAGCCUGAUCCUGCCCUUCGACAUGUAUAAAGCAAGAUGAGAUUGCCCUCCUCUGGUUGCAGCAAAGAACAGCAUGCCUUCAUGCGAUCGAGUCCUG